rnacentral:rRNA from 1 species
UACAGAGGUGGCAAGCGUUGUUCGGAAUUACUGGGCUUAAAGGGUGCGUAGGCGGUGGAGUAAGUCGGGUGUGAAAUACCAUAGCUUAACUAUGGAACUGCACUCGAUACUACUUUGCUAGAGUAAGACAGAGGUGAGUGGAACUGAGGGUGGAGCGGUGAAAUGCGUUGAUAUCCUCAGGAACACCGGUGGCGAAGGCGACUCACUGGGUCUUUACUGACGCUGAUGCACGAAAGCUAGGGUAGCAAACGGG